AAUGAACGCUGGCGGCGUGCCUAAUACAUGCAAGUCGAGCGAACAGACGAGGAGCUUGCUCCUUCGACGUUAGCGGCGGACGGGUGAGUAACACGUAGGUAACCUACCUAUAAGACUGGGAUAACCUCGGGAAACCGGAGCUAAUACCGGAUAAUAUUUCGAACCGCAUGGUUCGAUAGUGAAAGAUGGCUUUGCUAUCACUUAUAGAUGGACCUGCGCCGUAUUAGCUAGUUGGUAAGGUAACGGCUUACCAAGGCAACGAUACGUAGCCGACCUGAGAGGGUGAUCGGCCACACUGGAGCUGAGACACGGUCCAGACUCCUACGGGAGGCAGCAGUAGGGAAUCUUCCGCAAUGGGCGAAAGCCUGACGGAGCAACGCCGCGUGAGUGAUGAAGGUCUUCGGAUCGUAAAACGCUGUUAUUAGGGAAGAACAAACGUGUAAGUAACGGUGCACGUCUUGACGGUACCGAAUCAGAAAGCCACGGCUAACUACGU
rnacentral:rRNA from 1 species